AUUGAACGCUGGCGGCAGGCCUAACACAUGCAAGUCGAGCGGAGCGGAGGACGGGUGAGUAAUGCCUAGGAAUCUGCCUGGUAGUGGGGGAUAACGUCCGGAAAAGGGCGCUAAUCCCGCAUACUAACAAAUGAGCCUAGGGCGGAUUAUCUAGUUGGUGGGGUAAAGGCCUACCAAGGCGACGAUCCGUAACUGGUCUGAGAGGAUGAUCAGUCACACCAGAACUGAGACAAGGUCCAGACUCCUACGGGAGGCAGCAGUGGGGAAUAUUGGAAAAUGGGCGAAAGCCUGAUCCAGCCAUGCCGCGUGUGUGAAGAAGGUAUUCGGAUUGUAAAGCACUUUAAGUUGGGAGGCGUUACCAACAGAAUAAGCACCGGCUAACUUCGUGCCAGCAGCCGAGGUAAUUC
rnacentral:rRNA from 1 species